AAUGGAUCCAGAAUGAUCGAGAGAGAGAAAGAGGGAGAGCUGGGAGCUCUCUGACCCGACACCUCAACCCGGUCGGCGCUCCACCGUCAGGCCACCUCCGGCCGGCGCACGGACACCAUCGCCUUCGUCUCAUCGUCGCCGUCACGAUUGUGGUAUUCGAUCGCCCAUGCACCGGACGAGGAGGGAGAAACGACAGUGAGAAGAUCGGACUGCUCCGGCGAAGUUCAGCCAUUUCCGGCCAUUGUUCAGGGCGCAUUCGUUUCUCGGCCUCUCCUCGGCUUAGUUUUGGCUUGGGUGUAUUCAUAGGAGCAAGCUGACAUCAAUUGGAGCAGAAAGCCCGAACUUGCUGGGUUGCAGACGUCGAACUCCAUUACCGGUUGAGCUUCGAAUUAGGUAGGACGGAGUUGAUCGACUCGGCGUCGACUAGGCUAUCUCCGGAAAUUGUGUUCUUCGUCAUCGAGGUUUCAUCUGCAAAUUCUGCCCCAGAAGGACUCCAGUUACCCGAGGAACAGAAGGUUCGCAACUCUCGGAGUACGUGAGAGAACGCAUCGGAAUCCAGUAUGGAUGCAGGUACUGUGCACUGGUGACGGGACAAUGGCGGACGGAGCUGGGUGUGCGGAACAAGUUUGUGAUUAAAGCAGGAGGAUCAUGAAGGGUGCAUAUUCCUGUAGCAUGAAGAGUACUAUUCUUAGCCAAAAGAUCAGCAACCACAUUGCGCUCGCGAUGAACAUACUGGAGCUAAACUGACUCAAACUCAUUCAUAAUCUUCCUGCAAUUUAUAAACAAGGUUCCCAAAGGAUGUAGCUCAAUAUUGUCACCGUUCAUGAGAUUCACCCUCUUUCCUUCUUAAAUAAAUAAUAUAUUUUUUCGUUAAUAAUCUCUCAUCCUUAAAUAAGUUUUUUUUUCUUUGAUAAAAAAAUGUCAGCCCAUUAUAUAGAUUCAGCAAGCAGUACAAAAACGAAACACCCCUAUAGGGUCGACAGAAAGAAAAAUCGUUUCUCAGAGUACCCUGAGACUCCUAUUCUAGAACAAGAACCCAAAUACCCCCAGUACACCCACCUUUCAGAAAAUCCACGCACCAUUAUUUCAAAC